rnacentral:ncRNA from 1 species
AAAUACAAUGUCGUUUUUUAUUAUGCAGCACCCACUGCGUAGACCUAGAACGUCAUUUAAGGAGAAAACAAAUG